AAUAGAUACCCGGGUAGUCCACGCCGUAAACGAUGAGUGCUAAGUGUUAGAGGGUUUCCGCCCUUUAGUGCUGCAGCUAACGCAUUAAGCACUCCGCCUGGGGAGUACGGUCGCAAGACUGAAACUCAAAGGAAUUGACGGGGGCCCGCACAAGCGGUGGAGCAUGUGGUUUAAUUCGAAGCAACGCGAAGAACCUUACCAGGUCUUGACAUCCUCUGACAACUCUAGAGAUAGAGCGUUCCCCUUCGGGGGACAGAGUGACAGGUGGUGCGUGGUUGUCGUCAGCUCGUGUCGUGAGAUGUUGGGUUAAGUCCCGCAACGAGCGCAACCCUUGAUCUUAGUUGCCAGCAUUCAGUUGGGCACUCUAAGGUGGCUGCCGGUGACAAACCGGAGGGAGGUGGGGAUGACGUCAAAUCAUCAUGCCCCUUAUGACCUGGGCUACACACGUGCUACAAUGGAUGGUACAAAGGGCUGCAAGACCGCGAGGUCAAGCCAAUCCCAUAAAACCAUUCUCAGUUCGGAUUGUAGG
rnacentral:rRNA from 1 species